CCUACGGGGGGCAGCAGUGAGGAAUAUUGGUCAAUGGACGCAAGUCUGAACCAGCCAUGCCGCGUGCAGGAAGACGGCUCUAUGAGUUGUAAACUGCUUUUGUACGAGGGUAAACGCAGAUACGCGUAUCUUUCUGAAAGUAUCGUACGAAUAAGGAUCGGCUAACUCCGUUCCAGCAGCCGCGGUAAUACGGAGGAUUCAAGCGUUAUCCGGAUUUAUUGGGUUUAAAGGGAGCGUAGGCGGUCGGAUAAGUUAGAGGUGAAAUCCCGAGGCUCAACUUGGGAACUGCCUCCGAUACUGGUCGGCUAGAGAGUAGUUGCGGUAGGCGGAAUGUAUGGUGUAGCGGUGAAAUGCUUAGAGAUCAUACAGAACACCGAUGGCGAAGGCAGCUUACCAAGCUACUUCUGACGUUGAGGCACGAAAGCGUGGGGAGCAAACAGGAUUAGAUACCCUUGUAGUC
rnacentral:rRNA from 1 species